GUAUGUGUUUGGUGAAAAGAAUUUUUCAAAAAAUCUAGUUCUUUUUAAACCAUCUAC
rnacentral:pre_miRNA from 1 species